rnacentral:rRNA from 1 species
UACAGAGGGUGCAAGCGUUGUUCGGAAUUACUGGGCGUAAAGGGCGCGUAGGCGGUUUAGUAAGUCAGAUGUGAAAGCCCGGGGCUCAACUCCGGAAUUGCAUUUGAAACUGCUAGGCUAGAGUGCAGUAGAGGAUGGCGGAAUACCCAGUGGAGAGGUGAAAUUCGUAGAUAUUGGGUGGAACACCGGUGGCGAAGGCGGCCAUCUGGGCUGUUACUGACGCUGAGGCGCGAGAGCGUGGGGAGCAAACAGG